GUCCUAACCUUUGAAAUCUCCUCUUAGGACUCUGUUAGGGUAAUAAGAGCCCAACAUCAGCUGCUAAUCUCUCCAUUAGAGCUCUACCACCUAUUUCCUAAACAGAGCCUCCUGUAUCUAUUUAGAAAAGAAGGAGCAUCUUUCAGACCCAUUAAAGGCUCAAGCCAAGAGCAUGAAGCCAGAUUUCUACGCCGCCUUUCGAGAGAACUGGGAGAUUGGAAUUUGCGAACCAACUAGAGACAUUUAGGAUGCUGUAUCAAAGAACCUGGGUCUCACUAUGACAGAAACAUGAAGAACACCUUUUCCCAGAAGGACAUCUGUG